AGAGACUAUUAUGGGCGCCUUCUAGUUGCACUUGUAAAGUAGUAAUGGGAGAUGGGUUGAGGGCGGAGCCGUGGGAUACGGGAGAUGUGAAAUGAAGAGACAACGCGACACUGCAGACGGAGAUGCUAAUUUUUUUUUUGUUUGUUUUUUCCCUCGUCUGCUGGGUUUCGUACCAAGAAAAAAGAAGUCAAGCUUCAGAGUCUACUGCACUCAUGCAAUGGAAAGGGAGUGAGAGCAACGAGGCUGUGACCGUUGUUGAUGCCAGGUGAGAGCCGUCCAUCUGGGAGCCGAGCAGCCGCAACUCUCAGUGAGGUGAGGUCUCGGGAGCCAUGGAGAAGUCGGAGCAGAUGAAAAUCAUGCAGGGCAGUAGAAAGGCUGCUGAAAGUACCUGAAGAGACAAAGGAA